GCCUACGGGGGGCAGCAGUGGGGAAUAUUGCACAAUGGGCGCAAGCCUGAUGCAGCGACGCCGCGUGCGGGAUGGAGGCCUUCGGGUUGUAAACCUCUUUUGUCGGGGAGCAAAUUCCGUUACGUGUAACGGAGUCGAGAGUACCCGAAGAAAAAGCAUCGGCUAACUCCGUGCCAGCAGCCGCGGUAAUACGGAGGAUGCGAGCGUUAUCCGGAUUUAUUGGGUUUAAAGGGUGCGUAGGCGGACUGUCAAGUCAGCGGUAAAAUACGGGGGCUCAACCUCCGCCCGCCGUUGAAA
rnacentral:rRNA from 1 species